UAUUUUCUUACUUCUACCACAAAUAUUUUUAAAAUUCAUCUAAUAAAACCCUAAUUUCUCAUCACACUUUUCAAUCUAUCCACAAAGCCACUGCCACCUGCUUCACUCUUCUCUGGUCUCUGCCAUCACCGUCGCCGUCCAAUCCGGCACUCGCUGCCAGUCUCAGCCCAUCUCCCGGCGUCGCUAUUAGGCUCUUUCUCCCCGUCGUUCAUUCUCAUUAUCUCUGUUCUAUCUUCUCUCUUCGAGUCGUCGUCAGCGCUGUGGUGCUCCAGUCUCCUCCUUCAUCCUCCACUUCCAGAGUUUCAAUGGAGCCUCAGCUUUAGGAUGAUCAUGAGGGUGUUAGGAACGUGGAUGAUGACAACUUUAUAGACGACACUGGGGUGGAAGCUGGUGGUUACUAUUGGCAGUGAUGAACCUCGUUCUCUUGGUGAUGCUCCCCAGAGGAUGAUGAAAUUAAGGAUCUUUUCAAGAUAGGUAAGAAAAAGAAGAAGAAUGAGAGAAGUCUUGCAGAAAUAGCUUUAUUAGUUGAGAACGUCUGACUUCUGCGAUUCACAUUCCUGGAACAAACACGAUUCAGACUCCUGGAACCAACCACUAAACACUGAUCGAUAUUUUGGCCAAUCGGAAAGAAGAGAAGAAUAAAUGAAAAUUCGUUCGCCAUCAAGGAACGAAACCGGAAAUUUUUUCCAUGCAAGUUGUGACAGCACUAACAUAGUGAACUUGCUCAAACUAUAGCAUAAACAUUGCUUGUCUCAUUUUGAUUCUGCAUAGCAAAAUGUUAAAGGAACUAUAGGGCAUCUUAGAGGAAGCAAAUUCUACUAUGCAAGUUGAGUAGAAUUAGGAGUCAAUUAUCAGGGCUUUGAAUGGUUUGUAUAUUCUGAAUCACAGUUACUAAGUAUUUUUUGAAGUUUCUUGUGAACCACCAUAUGUUCAUUAAUCUUUUAUAACUAA